rnacentral:rRNA from 1 species
AACCUUUACACUGCACGACAGUGCGAUAGGGGGACUCCGAGUGCGAGGGCAUAUAGCCCUCGCUUUUCUGAACCGUAAGGUGGUUCAGGAACAAGGACUGGGCAAGACCGGUGCCAGCCGCCGCGGUAAUACCGGCAGUCCGAGUGAUGGCCGAUAUUAUUGGGCCUAAAGCGUCCGUAGCCGGCCGGACAAGUCCGUUGGGAAAUCGACGCGCUCAACGCGUCGGCGUCCAGCGGAAACUGUCCGGCUUGGGGCCGGAAGACCUGAGGGGUACGUCCGGGGUAGGAGUGAAAUCCUGUAAUCCUGGACGGACCACCAAUGGGGAAACCACCUCAGGAAGACGGACCCGACGGUGAGGGACGAAAGCUAGGGUCUCGAACCGGAUUAGAUACCCGGGUAGUCCUAGCUGUAAACGAUGCUCGCUAGGUGUGCCGUAGGCUACGAGCCUGCGCUGCGCCCUAGGGAAGCCGAGAAGCGAGCCGCCUGGGAAGUACGUCUGCAAGGAUGAAACUUAA